CCUUGUCCUUAGUUACCAGCACGUUAUGGUGGGCACUCUAAGGAGACUGCCGGUGACAAACCGGAGGAAGGUGGGGAUGACGUCAAGUCAUCAUGGCCCUUACGGCCUGGGCUACACACGUGCUACAAUGGUCGGUACAGAGGGUUGCCAAGCCGCGAGGUGGAGCUAAUCUCACAAAACCGAUCGUAGUCCGGAUCGCAGUCUGCAACUCGACUGCGUGAAGUCGGAAUCGCUAGUAAUCGCGAAUCAGAAUGUCGCGGUGAAUACGUUCCCGGGCCUUGUACACACCGCCCGU
rnacentral:rRNA from 1 species